CAAGCAGUGGCGGCGUGCUAUACAUGCAGUCGAACGAGUUCUGAUUAUUGAAAGGUGCUUGCAUCUUGAUUUAAUUUUGAACGAGUGGCGGACGGGUGAGUAACACGUGGGUAACCUGCCCUUAAGUGGGGGAUAACAUUUGGAAACAGAUGCUAAUACCGCAUAAAUCCAAGAACCGCAUGGUUCUUGGCUGAAAGAUGGCGUAAGCUAUCGCUUUUGGAUGGACCCGCGGCGUAUUAGCUAGUUGGUGAGGUAACGGCUCACCAAGGCAAUGAUACGUAGCCGAACUGAGAGGUUGAUCGGCCACAUUGGGACUGAGACACGGCCCAAACUCCUACGGGAGGCAGCAGUAGGGAAUCUUCCACAAUGGACGCAAGUCUGAUGGAGCAACGCCGCGUGAGUGAAGAAGGCUUUCGGGUCGUAAAACUCUGUUGUUGGAGAAGAAUGGUCGGCAGAGUAACUGUUGUCGGCGUGACGGUAUCCAACCAGAAAGCCACGGCUAACUACGUGCCAGCAGCCGCGGUAAUACGUAGGUGGCAAGCGUUAUCCGGAUUUAUUGGGCGUAAAGCGAGCGCAGGCGGUUUUUUAAGUCUGAUGUGAAAGCCCUCGGCUUAACCGAGGAAGUGCAUCGGAAACUGGGAAACUUGAGUGCAGAAGAGGACAGUGGAACUCCAUGUGUAGCGGUGAAAUGCGUAGAUAUAUGGAAGAACACCAGUGGCGAAGGCGGCUGUCUGGUCUGUAACUGACGCUGAGGCUCGAAAGCAUGGGUAGCGAACAGGAUUAGAUACCCUGGUAGUCCAUGCCGUAAACGAUGAAUGCUAGGUGUUGGAGGGUUUCCGCCCUUCAGUGCCGCAGCUAACGCAUUAAGCAUUCCGCCUGGGGAGUACGACCGCAAGGUUGAAACUCAAAGGAAUUGACGGGGGCCCGCACAAGCGGUGGAGCAUGUGGUUUAAUUCGAAGCAACGCGAAGAACCUUACCAGGUCUUGACAUCUUUUGAUCACCUGAGAGAUCAGGUUUCCCCUUCGGGGGCAAAAUGACAGGUGGUGCAUGGUUGUCGUCAGCUCGUGUCGUGAGAUGUUGGGUUAAGUCCCGCAACGAGCGCAACCCUUAUGACUAGUUGCCAGCAUUUAGUUGGGCACUCUAGUAAGACUGCCGGUGACAAACCGGAGGAAGGUGGGGAUGACGUCAAAUCAUCAUGCCCCUUAUGACCUGGGCUACACACGUGCUACAAUGGAUGGUACAACGAGUUGCGAGACCGCGAGGUCAAGCUAAUCUCUUAAAGCCAUUCUCAGUUCGGACUGUAGGCUGCAACUCGCCUACACGAAGUCGGAAUCGCUAGUAAUCGCGGAUCAGCACGCCGCGGUGAAUACGUUCCCGGGCCUUGUACACACCGCCCGUCACACCAUGAGAGUUUGUAACACCCGAAGCCGGUGGCGUAACCCUUUUAGGGAGCGAGCCGUCUAAGGUGACAAAGAAAGGUG
rnacentral:rRNA from 1 species